AAAUUUUCUUUGGAAAGGGAUGGAGCUGAUGCUAUGACAGAACUGAAGACUCCAGAUUCCCUUAAACUUUGGAUUAUGACCUGAAGACCAGUGCAUGAGGAAAUGAGUUUGGAGCGUAAAAAGAAGUUGAAUUACUUUGUUUGCAACCACAGCGGUCACGUCUAGAAGUUAAGUCUGAGAAUUUAGCAUACGUGUAAUGUAAAACAGCAGCUUCUUCCAAUUUGAUUUCACUAGCAUAAUUGAGAAGAACUAUCAGGGAAAUAACAAAAAUGUCAAGGGAUACACUCAUGUCUUGUGAUUCAAAGAUCAUACUUUGGGGUUUUCAUAUAAUUAUGCCAUCUAUGGGCACCAUUAGGCCGAAGAUGAUCUUGUAUCCGAGCAGCUGAUUUUCCAUUUCCAUAAGUCAGGAAGUAGUUUGGAUUGCCACGUACAGAAUCUUUAUACAUUCCAAAGUAUGUAUCCUUUGGAAGAUGAUCAUAGUUCUUCUUAAACAUCGAUACCUGCUUUGACAGAUCAGGAGAAGAGGUUACAAAUUUAUAAUUUAGGUUUACUUUUGCAGUGUACUGAUCACUUAUCCAAUAUUUACUUAAAAGUCGGGUUUGAAAUUUUC